rnacentral:rRNA from 1 species
UUCCGGUUGAUCCUGCCGGAGGCUACCGCUAUUGGAGUUCGAUUAAGCCAUGCGAGUCGCGAGAAAUUAGAUUCUCGGCGUACCGCUCAGUAACACGUGGGUAACCUGCCCUAUGCUGGAUAAUAACCUCGGGAAACUGAGAAUAAUGAUCCAUAGUUCACUACGCCUGGAACGGUGAGUGGACGAAAGCUCCGGCGGCAUAGGAUGGGCCUGCGGCGUAUCAGGUUGUAGGGGGUGUAACGUACCCUCUAGCCAUCUACGCGUACGGGUGUUGGGAGACAUAGCCCGGAGAUGGAUUCUGAGACACGAAUCCAGACCCUACGGGGUGCAGCAGGCGCGAAAACUUGGCAAUGCGAGAAAUCGUGACCAGGGAACUCCAAGUGCAUCGGGUAAGACCGGUGCUUUUCUUGACUCUAAAUAGGUCUUGGAAUAAGGGGUGGGUAAGGACGGUGCCAGCCGCCGCGGUAAUACCGGCGCCUCAAGUGGUAGUCGCUUUUAUUGGGCCUAAAACGUCCGUAGCCGGUCUGAUACAUUCGUGGGUAAAUCAACCAGCUCAACUGGUUGAAUUCUGCGAGGACGGUCAGACUUGGGACCGGGAGAGGUGUGGGGUACGCUCAGGGUAGGGGUAAAAUCCUGUCAUCCUGAGCGGACCACCUGUUGCGAAGGCGCCACACUAGAACGGAUCCGACGGUCAGGGACGAAGCCUAGGGGCACGAACCGGAUUAGAUACCCGGGUAGUCCUAGGUGUAAACGCUGUGGACUUGAU